CAGCAGCCGCGGUAAUACGGAGGGUGCAAGCGUUAAUCGGAAUUACUGGGCGUAAAGCGCGCGUAGGCGGUUGUUUAAGUCGGAUGUGAAAGCCCCGGGCUCGACCUGGGAACUGCAUUCGAUACUGGGCAACUAGAGUAUGAAAGAGGGAGGUAGAAUUCCAUGUGUAGCGGUGAAAUGCGUAGAUAUAUGGAGGAAUACCAGUGGCGAAGGCGGCCUCCUGGUUCAAUACUGACGCUGAGGUGCGAAAGCGUGGGGAUCAAACAGGAUUAGAUACCCUGGUAGUCCACGCCGUAAACGAUGUCUACUAGCCGUUGGGAGACUUGAUUUCUUAGUGGCGCAGCUAACGCACUAAGUAGACCGCCUGGGGAGUACGGCCGCAAGGUUAAAACUCAAAUGAAUUGACGGGGGCCCGCACAAGCGGUGGAGCAUGUGGUUUAAUUCGAUGCAACGCGAAGAACCUUACCAGGUCUUGACAUCCUGAAAACUUUCUAGAGAUAGAUUGGCGCCUUCGGGAAUUCAGUGACAGGUGCUGCAUGGCUGUCGUCAGCUCGUGUCGUGAGAUGUUGGGUUAAGUCCCGUAACGAGCGCAACCCUUGUCCUUAGUUGCCAGCACAUAAUGGUGGGAACUCUAAGGAGACUGCCGGUGACAAACCGGAGGAAGGUGGGGACGACGUCAAGUCAUCAUGGCCCUUACGACCUGGGCUACACACGUGCUACAAUGGAACGCACAGAGGGCUGCAAAGGCGCGAGCUGGAGCGAAUCCCACCAAACGUUUCGUAGUCCGGAUUGGAGUCUGCAACUCGACUCCAUGAAGUCGGAAUCGCUAGUAAUCGUGAAUCAGAAUGUCACGGUGAAUACGUUCCCGGGCCUUGUACACACCGCCCGUCACACCAUGGGAGUGGGUUGCUCCAGAAGUGGUUAGCCUAACCUUCGGGAGGGCGAUCACCACGGAGUGAUUCAUGACUGGGGUGAAGUCGUAACAAGGUAACCGUA
rnacentral:rRNA from 1 species